rnacentral:rRNA from 1 species
AAUCCAUAGGUUAAUGAGGCGAACCGGGGGAACUGAAACAUCUAAGUACCCCGAGGAAAAGAAAUCAACCGAGAUUCCCCCAGUAGCGGCGAGCGAACGGGGAGGAGCCCAGAGCCUGAAUCAGCAUGUGUGUUAGUGGAAGCGUCUGGAAAGGCGCGCGAUACAGGGUGACAGCCCCGUACACAAAAGCGCAUGUGCUGUGAGCUCGAUGAGUAGGGCGGGACACGUGGUAUCCUGUCUGAAUAUGGGGGGACCAUCCUCCAAGGCUAAAUACUCCUGACUGACCGAUAGUGAACCAGUACCGUGAGGGAAAGGCGAAAAGAACCCCGGCGAGGGGAGUGAAAAAGAACCUGAAACCGUGUACGUACAAGCAGUGGGAGCCCCACCACUAAGCCAGUGGUGAACUCCACAUACGCAUCCUUUGCUGAGGAUACGGUUAACGGAGCGAAAGCGACGUUCAACCGCAAAAGAAGCAGAGGGGGCUUAGUGGUGGGGUGACUGCGUACCUUUUGUAUAAUGGGUCAGCGACUUAUAUUCUGUAGCAAGGUUAACCGAAUAGGGGAGCCGGAGGGAAACCGAGUCUUAAUUGGGCGUUAAGUUGCAGGGUAUAGACCCGAAACCCGGUGAUCUAGCCAUGGGCAGGUUGAAGGUUGGGUAACACUAACUGGAGGACCGAACCGACUAAUGUUGAAAAAUUAGCGGAUGACCUGUGGCUGGGGGUGAAAGGCCAAUCAAACCGGGAGAUAGCUGGUUCUCCCCGAAAGCUAUUUAGGUAGCGCCUCGUGAAUUCAUCUCCGGGGGUAGAGCACUGUUUCGGCUAGGGGGCCAUCCCGGCUUACCAACCCGAUGCAAACUGCGAAUACCGGAGAAUGUUAUCACGGGAGACACACGGCGGGUGCUAACGUCCGUCGUGAAGAGGGAAACAACCCAGACCGCCAGCUAAGGUCCCAAAGUCAUGGUUAAGUGGGAAACGAUGUGGGAAGGCCCAGACAGCCAGGAUGUUGGCUUAGAAGCAGCCAUCAUUUAAAGAAAGCGUAAUAGCUCACUGGUCGAGUCGGCCUGCGCGGAAGAUGUAACGGGGCUAAACCAUGCACCGAAGCUGCGGCAGCGACGCUUAUGCGUUGUUGGGUAGGGGAGCGUUCUGUAAGCCUGUGAAGGUGUGUCGUGAGGCAUGCUGGAGGUAUCAGAAGUGCGAAUGCUGACAUAAGUAACGAUAAAGCGGGUGAAAAGCCCGCUCGCCGGAAGACCAAGGGUUCCUGUCCAACGUUAAUCGGGGCAGGGUGAGUCGACCCCUAAGGCGAGGCCGAAAGGCGUAGUCGAUGGGAAACGGGUUAAUAUUCCCGUACUUGGUGUUACUGCGAAGGGGGGACGGAGAAGGCUAUGUUGGCCGGGCGACGGUUGUCCCGGUUUAAGCGUGUAGGUGUGUGUUCCAGGUAAAUCCGGUUCACUUUAACACUGAGGCGUGAUGACGAGGCACUACGGUGCUGAAGUAACAAAUGCCCUGCUUCCAGGAAAAGCCUCUAAGCAUCAGGUAACAUCAAAUCGUACCCCAAACCGACACAGGUGGUCAGGUAGAGAAUACCAAGGCGCUUGAGAGAACUCGGGUGAAGGAACUAGGCAAAAUGGUGCCGUAACUUCGGGAGAAGGCACGCUGACACGUAGGUGAAGUGAUUUACUCAUGGAGCUGAAGUCAGUCGAAGAUACCAGCUGGCUGCAACUGUUUAUUAAAAACACAGCACUGUGCAAACACGAAAGUGGACGUAUACGGUGUGACGCCUGCCCGGUGCCGGAAGGUUAAUUGAUGGGGUCAGCGCAAGCGAAGCUCCUGAUCGAAGCCCCGGUAAACGGCGGCCGUAACUAUAACGGUCCUAAGGUAGCGAAAUUCCUUGUCGGGUAAGUUCCGACCUGCACGAAUGGCGUAAUGAUGGCCAGGCUGUCUCCACCCGAGACUCAGUGAAAUUGAACUCGCUGUGAAGAUGCAGUGUACCCGCGGCAAGACGGAAAGACCCCGUGAACCUUUACUAUAGCUUGACACUGAACAUUGAGCCUUGAUGUGUAG